CACAACUGGCWCAGAAAACUACGGUAACGUCCAAAAAGAUGAAGGCGUUAGUCAUUGCAAUUGUUUCAKUAUUCACAAUUUCUUGCUAUGGGGAUUCAUUCAAUAGUGAGAUAUUGCAACGUCGUAAAAUAGUAAAAC